rnacentral:rRNA from 1 species
GAGUUUGAUCCUGGCUCAGGACGAACGCUGGCGGCGUGCUUAACACAUGCAAGUCGAGCGGUAAGGCCUUUCGGGGUACACGAGCGGCGAACGGGUGAGUAACACGUGGGUGAUCUGCCCUGCACUUCGGGAUAAGCCUGGGAAACUGGGUCUAAUACCGGAUAUGACCUCCUAUCGCAUGGUGGGUGGUGGAAAGAUUUAUCGGUGCAGGAUGGGCCCGCGGCCUAUCACCUUGUUGGUGGGGUAAUGGCCUACCAAGGCAACAACGGGUAGCCGACCUGAAAGGGUGACCGGCCACACUGGGACUGAAACACGGCCCAAACUCCUACGGGAGGCAGCAGUGGGGAAUAUUGCACAAUGGGCGAAAGCCUGAUGCACCGACCCCGCGUGAGGAACAACGGCUUUCGGGUUGUAAACCUCUUUCACCAGGGACAAACCGCAUGUGACGGUCCCUGCAAAAAAAGCACCGGCUAACUACGUGCCAGCACCCGCGGUAAUACUUAGGGUGCAAGCGUUGUCCGGAAUUACUGGGCGUAAAGAGUUCGUAGGCGGUUUGUCACGUCGUUUGUGAAAACUCACAGCUCAACUGUGAGCCUGCAGGCGAUACGGGCAGACUUGAGUACUGCAGGGGAGACUGGAAUUCCUGGUGUAGCGGUGAAAUGCGCAGAUAUCAGGAGGAACACCGGUGGCGAAGGCGGGUCUUUGGGCAGUAACUGACGCUGAGGAACGAAAGCGUGGGUAGCGAACAGGAUUAGAUACCCUGGUAGUC